GGGCGCCUACGGGACGCAGCAGUCGGGAAUAUUGCACAAUGGAGGAAACUCUGAUGCAGUGACGCCGCGUGCAGGAAGAAGGUUUUCGGAUUGUAAACUGCUUUAGGCAGGGAAGAAACAAGACAGUACCUGUAGAAUAAGCUCCGGCUAACUACGUGCCAGCAGCCGCGGUAAUACGUAGGGAGCAGGCGUUAUCCGGAUUUAUUGGAUGUAAAGGGUGCGUAGACGGGUAUAUAAGUUAGUUGUGAAAUCCCUCGGCUCAACUGGGGAACUGCAACUAAAACUGUAAAUCUUGAGUGCGGGAG
rnacentral:rRNA from 1 species